rnacentral:rRNA from 1 species
CAGCAGCCGCGGGAAUACAGAGGGUGCGAGCGUUAAUCGGAUUUACUGGGCGUAAAGCGUGCGUAGGCGGCUUUUUAAGUCGGAUGUGAAAUCCCUGAGCUUAACUUAGGAAUUGCAUUCGAUACUGGGAAGCUAGAGUAUGGGAUAGGAUGGUAGAAUUCCAGGUGUAGCGGUGAAAUGCGUAGAGAUCUGGAGGAAUACCGAUGGCGAAGGCAGCCAUCUGGCCUAAUACUGACGCUGAGGUACGAAAGCAUGGGGAGCAAACAGGAUUAGAUACCCCCGUAGUCCCUGUCUCUUAUAC